AGAGUUUGAUCAUGGCUCAGAUUGAACGCUGGCGGCAGGCCUAACACAUGCAAGUCGAGCGGUAGCACAGGAGAGCUUGCUCUCUGGGUGACGAGCGGCGGACGGGUGAGUAAUGUCUGGGAAACUGCCUGAUGGAGGGGGAUAACUACUGGAAACGGUAGCUAAUACCGCAUAACGUCUUCGGACCAAAGUGGGGGACCUUCGGGCCUCACGCCAUCAGAUGUGCCCAGAUGGGAUUAGCUAGUAGGUGGGGUAAUGGCUCACCUAGGCGACGAUCCCUAGCUGGUCUGAGAGGAUGACCAGCCACACUGGAACUGAGACACGGUCCAGACUCCUACGGGAGGCAGCAGUGGGGAAUAUUGCACAAUGGGCGCAAGCCUGAUGCAGCCAUGCCGCGUGUGUGAAGAAGGCCUUCGAGUUGUAAAGCACUUUCAGCGAGGAGGAAGGGCAGUGUGUUAAUAGCACAUUGCAUUGACGUUACUCGCAGAAGAAGCACCGGUUAACUCCGUGCCAGCAGCCGCGGUAAUACGGAGGGUGCAAGCGUUAAUCGGAAUUACUGGGCGUAAAGCGCACGCAGGCGGUUUGUUAAGUCAGAUGUGAAAUCCCCGCGCUUAACGUGGGAACUGCAUUUGAAACUGGCAAGCUAGAGUCUUGUAGAGGGGGGUAGAAUUCCAGGUGUAGCGGUGAAAUGCGUAGAGAUCUGGAGGAAUACCGGUGGCGAAGGCGGCCCCCUGGACAAAGACUGACGCUCAGGUGCGAAAGCGUGGGGAGCAAACAGGAUUAGAUACCCCGGUAGUCC
rnacentral:rRNA from 1 species